ACAAAUCCUCUGUUCUUUUUGUUCUUGUUCUGGAUCCAGAUUUCUGAUUUUUGACAUGCAUUUAGGCAUAUCCUGGUUCCUCUUGAAGUGACCACUCAGCCAAGCUAAAGUCUAGUGGAACAAUAUGGAAGGAAAACAACUUGAGCACAUAUUUCAUUCUCCAAACAACAUCAUCAAUCCAAGAAAGAUUUGGCUACCCAAGAACCAGAAAAGAUCCUUUAGAAACUUGGAGGACUGAGACUAGCAGGGCUCACUCUUGAAAUGACAUAACCCUUGACAGCAAAUUGAAUUGACAGCUUCCCAUAUUAGCAGCCUUUACAAGUGGGAGAGCAUAGCAGGGCAUCUUCAGCUUGGUUGAUUUGGCGAUCAACACUGUCAGAUCAAGCCCCUGCCAACAAAGUUUUCUCAUCUCACCUCACUCCCCUC